rnacentral:rRNA from 1 species
GUGGGUUUGAUAGUGGCGCAGGGUGAGUAUCACGUGGGUAACAUGCCCUGAAGACGAGGAUAACUCUGCGAAAGCGGAGCUAAUACAGGGUGUGAACAGAUCCAGGCAUCUGGGACUGUUCAAAGCUAGGGACCGAAAGGCCUGGCGCUUCAGGAUUGGCCCACGCCUUAUUAGUUAGUUGGUGGGGUAACGGCCCACCAAGACUAUGAUGAGUAGCCGACCUGAGAGGGUGUACGGCCACACUGGGACUGAGACACUGCCCAGACUCCUACGGGAGGCUGCAGUCGUGAAUCUUUCGCAAUGGGCGAAAGCCUGACGAAGCGACGCCGCGUGCAGGAUGAAGGCCUUCGGGUUGUAAACUGCUGUCGCGAGGGACGAAUGUUAUUUCGUUUAACAAACGAAAUAAAUGACGGUACCUCGAAAGGAAGCCACGGCUAACUCUGUGCCAGCAGCCGCGGUAAUACAGAGGUGGCAAGCGUUGUUCGGAUUCAUUGGGCGUAAAGGGUGCGUAGUGGUUUGGUAAGUUGGAUGUGAAAUGCCACAGCUCAACUGGGGGAAUUGCAUCCAAAACUACCUUACUUGAGGAUCUCGGGAAGAGAAUAGAAUUCUCGGUGUAGCGGUGAACAUGCGUAGAUAUCGAGAAGAAUACCUGUGGCGAAGGGCGGUUCUCUACCAUAUUCCUGACACUAAAGCACGAAAGCGCGGGGAGCAAACGGGAUUAGAUACCCCGGUAGUCCGCGCCGUAAACGAUGAGAACUGGGUGUACGAGGUAUCGACCCCUCGUGUGCCGAAGCUAACGCAUUAAGUUCUCCGCCUGGGGAGUACGGCCGCAAGGUUAAAACUCAAAGAAAUUGACGGGGGCCCGCACAAGCGGUGGAGCAUGUGGUUUAAUACGACGCAACGCGUAGAACCUUACCAGGACUUGACAUGCACUUGAAAGCCCUAUGAAAGUAGGGCCCCUCUUCGGAGCAGGUGCACAGGUGCUGCAUGGCUGUCGCCAGCUCGUGCCGUGAGGUGUUGGGUUAAGUCCCGCAACGAGCGCAACCCUUACCCUUAGUUGCCAUCGGGUAAUGCCGGGCACUCUAUGGGAACUGCCAGCGUUAAGCUGGAGGAAGGUGGGGAUGACGUCAAGUCAUCAUGGCCCUUAUGCCCAGGGCUACACACGUGCUACAAUGGCCGGUACAAAGGGCUGCAAGCCUGCGAAGGUGAGCCAAUCCCAAAAAACCGGUCUCAGUUCGGAUUGGAGUCUGCAACUCGACUCCAUGAAGCGGAAUCGCUAGUAAUCGCGGAUCAGAACGCCGCGGUGAAUACGUUCCCGGGCCUUGUACACACC